GCAUAUCAAUAAGCGGAGGAAAAGAAACUAACAAGGAUUCCCCUAGUAACGGCGAGUGAAGCGGGAAGAGCUCAAAUUUGAAAUCUGGCAGUCUUCGAUUGUCCGAGUUGUAAUCUAUAGAGGCGUUUUCCGUGCCGGACCGUGUCCAAGUCUCCUGGAAAGGGGUAUCAAAGAGGGUGAUAAUCCCGUACUUAACACGACCACCGGUGCUCUGUGAUACGUCUUCUACGAGUCGAGUUGUUUGGGAAUGCAGCUCAAAAUGGGUGGUGAAUUCCAUCUAAAGCUAAAUAUUGGCGAGAGACCGAUAGCGAACAAGUACCGUGAGGGAAAGAUGAAAAGCACUUUGGAAAGAGAGUUAAACAGUACGUGAAAUUGUUGAAAGGGAAACGAUUGAAGUCAGUCGUGUUCUUUGGAUUCAGCCAGUUCUGCUGGUCUACUUCCUUGGAACGGGUCAACAUCAGUUUUGUCCGGUGGAUAAAGGUAGUAGGAAUGUGACUUCUCCGGAAGUGUUAUAGCCUAUUAUCACAUACACUGGGUGAGACUGAGGACUGCAGCUCGCCUUUAUGGCCGGCCUUCGGGCACGUUCGAGCUUAGGAUGUUGACAUAAUGGCUUUAAACGACCCGUCUUGAAACACGGACC
rnacentral:rRNA from 1 species